rnacentral:tRNA from 1 species
AAUUAAUGAGCUUGUAUUUUAAGCAUUUGUUUUGAAAACAUAAAAAAGAAUUUUAUUCUAUUAAUUU